AGUUGCUAACGCGUGAAGGCGAGCACUCUAGACGAACUGCCGUUGACAAACGGAGGAAGUGGGGAUGACGUCAAAUCAUCAUGCCCCUUAUGUUCUGGGCUACACACGUGCUACAAUGGCCGGUACAGACGGACGCAAAGCCGCGAGGUGGAGCAAAUCCUAAAAAGCCGGUCUCAGUUCGGAUUGCAGGCUGCAAUUCGCCUGCAUGAAGUCGGAAUCGCUAGUAAUCGCAGGUCAGCAUACUGCGGUGAAUACGUUCCCGGGCCUU
rnacentral:rRNA from 1 species